AACGCACGAGACCUGCGGACCUGCGGAAGGAUCAUUACUGAGUUACCCAACUCUUAAACCACUGUGAACUUACCACUGUUGCCUCGGCGGCAGCUCCCUACCACCCGAGAGGGGGGCGGGGAAGCCGCCGGUGGACACCUAAACUCUUGUAAUCUUUUGGCAUUCUGAAUUCAAAACUUUAAUAAGUUAAAACUUUCAACAACGGAUCUCU
rnacentral:misc_RNA from 1 species